rnacentral:rRNA from 1 species
AGGAUCAACGCUGGCGGCGUGCAUGAGACAUGCAAGUCGAACGGACGAUCAAAGCUUGCUUUGUUCGUUAGUGGCGGACGGCUGAGUAACGCGUGGGUGACCUGCCCCGAAGUGGGGAAUAACUGCCCGAAAGGGUGGCUAAUACCGCAUGUGGUGAUGUGUUCAGUCGCAUCACCAAAGCCGUAAGGCGCUUCGGGAGGGGCCUGCGUCCGAUUAGCUCGUUGGUGGGGUAACGGCUUACCAAGGCGACGAUCGGUAGGUGGUCUGAGAGGAUGAUCACCCAGACUGGGACUGAGACACGGCCCAGACUCCUACGGGAGGCAGCAGUCGGGAAUUUUGCGCAAUGGACGAAAGUCUGACGCAGCAACGCCGCGUGAGGAUGAAGGCCUUCGGGUUGUAAACCUCUUUUCUCAGGGACGAUAAUGACGGUACCUGAGGAAUAAGCCACGGCUAACUACGUGCCAGCAGCCGC